UACGUAGGGGGCAAGCGUUGUCCGGAUUUAUUGGGCGUAAAGAGCGUGUAGGCGGCCAGGUAGGUCUGCUGUGAAAACUCGAGGCUUAACCUCGAGCUGUCGGCGGAAACCAUCUGGCUAGAGUCCGGAAGAGGAGAAUGGAAUUCCCGGUGUAGCGGUGAAAUGCGCAGAUAUCGGGAAGAACACCCGUGGCGAAGGCGGUCUUCUGGAGCACUCUUGACGCUGAGGCGCGAAAGCCAGGGGAGCAAACGGG
rnacentral:rRNA from 1 species